rnacentral:lncRNA from 1 species
GACACUGACCCGGCCUUUGUCAUCCCUUAUUGCCGCUCCACCCUGCUUGUCUACAGCUGCUGGUUACACCCAAGUGUCUGUUCGUUGGCUGGUUAAUUUGGAGGUCCCUCCAGGGAUGCGAUUGAGAAGAGCCAUCCAUCCCUGCUGCAUGACUUCCAGGCCAGGGGAGAGGUCCUGGUCCCGCCAGGGGUCUCUCUGGGGCUGAGCAGGACAACUUCACACACGCCCCAUAUGGUUCUGAAGGAUUGAGCAACACAGCAUCUACAUUGGUGGCUGACUUAAUAACCCUUCCUUGAACUGGUUUUUCUCUUCCUAGUUUGUAUUUCCAGGCCACUGCUAUUGGUCCUUGAACCUUACUCCCCUAUAAAAUAUUUAUAUUGAA